GGAAUAGAUCCCUGUAGAAUAUC
rnacentral:piRNA from 1 species